rnacentral:rRNA from 1 species
UACUUCAGUGUAUUUUUUCUUUGGAGAGCAAACAUUGCCGAUCAAAGUCCCAAAUCGGCUAUCCAGCAUGGCUCAACCUGUCAACCAGCACCCAACCCAACAGUAUUACUCAAAAAUAAAGCACCCAACCUAGCACCAGUCUCCCUCACUCUCUCCAUUCCCGCACAAUCCCUAGAUCUCACCCACUCCACUCCCUUCGCUCUCCCCCCACACCGGCGACCUCAACUCCCACCGCCCGCCCCGAGGUGGAGUGAGCUUUCCCUUUUCGGCGGGGGCAGCAGCAGCAACUUGAUUCGAGCGGGAGCCGUCCGUCGGUGUGCGACCCAUGGCGGGGAUGGCGGCGGUGGCGGCGGCGAGGUGCAUGAAAGUGGCAUAGGGCACGCCCGCCCCGAUGGCGGCAGGGGUGGGCGAGUGGAGGAAGGACUGGCUACUGUGAUCCGGCGGCUUUGCCGUGCUCUGCGACAAGUGCGGAUCUUCUGUGAGCAAAGAUGGCAGUGGAAGGCAGCAACCCAACCCCAGGAGUUCCAUCGAACACUUCAAUGUUACUACAAUAAUGCUCACAUGGAUCUUGAGAAGCAGGAUGCUAUAAAUGUCCUCAACAAGGCAAAUUUCCUCUGUGGAAGUUGGACUCAGAUCAACAUUACAAUAUCGCCCGGCAAGGAACUUUAA